rnacentral:rRNA from 1 species
UAAUACGUAGGGAGCAAGCGUUGUCCGGAUUCACUGGGUGUAAAGGGUGCGCAGGCGGACUUGUAAGUCAGGGGUGAAAUCUCACGGCUUAACCGUGAAACUGCCUUUGAUACUGCAGGUCUUGAGUUCGGGAGAGGUUGAUGGAAUUCCAGGUGUAGCGGUGAAAUGCGUAGAUAUCUGGAAGAACACCAGUGGCGAAGGCGGUCAACUGGCCCGUAACUGACGCUCAGGCACGAAAGCGUGGGUAGCGAACAGGAUUAGAUACCCUGGUAGUCCACGCCCUAAACGAUGAAUACUUGGUGUUGGUCCUUUUCUGGAUCAGUGCCGAAGGUAACCUGAUAAGUAUUCCACCUGGGGAGUACGCUCGCAAGGGUG